rnacentral:rRNA from 1 species
GACGAACGCUGGCGGCGUGCCUAAUACAUGCAAGUAGAACGCUGAAGAGAGGAGCUUGCUCUUCUUGGAUGAGUUGCGAACGGGUGAGUAACGCGUAGGUAACCUGCCUUGUAGCGGGGGAUAACUAUUGGAAACGAUAGCUAAUACCGCAUAACAAUGGAUGACACAUGUCAUUUAUUUGAAAGGGGCAAUUGCUCCACUACAAGAUGGACCUGCGUUGUAUUAGCUAGUAGGUGAGGUAAUGGCUCACCUAGGCGACGAUACAUAGCCGACCUGAGAGGGUGAUCGGCCACACUGGGACUGAGACACGGCCCAGACUCCUACGGGAGGCAGCAGUAGGGAAUCUUCGGCAAUGGGGGCAACCCUGACCGAGCAACGCCGCGUGAGUGAAGAAUGUUUUCGGAUCGUAAAGCUCUGUUGUAAGUCAAGAACGGGUGUGAGAGUGGAAAGUUCACACUGUGACGGUAGCUUACCAGAAAGGGACGGCUAACUACGUG